rnacentral:rRNA from 1 species
CAGUAGCCGCGGUAAUACGAAGGUCCCGAGCGUUGUUCGGAAUCACUGGGCGUAAAGGGAGCGUAGGCGGCGUGGUAAGUCGGAUGUGAAAUCCCGGGGCUCAACCCCGGAACUGCAUCCGAUACUGCCAUGCUAGAGGAUUGGAGAGGUAGCUGGAAUUCUUGGUGUAGCAGUGAAAUGCGUGGAGAUCAAGAGGAACACUCGUGGCGAAAGCGAGCUACUGGACAAUAACUGACGCUGAGGCUCGAAGGCCAGGGUAGCGAAAGGGAUUAGAUACCCCAGUAGUCCCUGUCUCUUAUAC